rnacentral:rRNA from 1 species
GACGAACGCUGGCGGCGUGCCUAAUACAUGCAAGUAGAACGCUGAAGGAAGGAGCUUGCUCUUUCUGGAUGAGUUGCGAACGGGUGAGUAACGCGUAGGUAACCUGCCUGGUAGCGGGGGAUAACUAUUGGAAACGAUAGCUAAUACCGCAUAAAAUUGAUUAUUGCAUGAUAGACAAUUAAAAGGUGCAACUGCACCACUACCAGAUGGACCUGCGUUGUAUUAGCUAGUUGGUGGGGUAACGGCUCACCAAGGCGACGAUACAUAGCCGACCUGAGAGGGUGAUCGGCCACACUGGGACUGAGACACGGCCCAGACUCCUACGGGAGGCAGCAGUAGGGAAUCUUCGGCAAUGGACGGAAGUCUGACCGAGCAACGCCGCGUGAGUGAAGAAGGUUUUCGGAUCGUAAAGCUCUGUUGUAAGAGAAGAACGAGUGUGAGAGUGGAAAGUUCACACUGUGACGGUAUCUUACCAGAAAGGGACGGCUAACUACGUG